UACGUAGGGUGCAAGCGUUGUCCGGAAUUAUUGGGCGUAAAGAGCUCGUAGGCGGUCUGUCGCGUCGGAUGUGAAAACCCAGGGCUCAACCCUGGGCCUGCAUUCGAUACGGGCAGACUAGAGUUCGGUAGGGGAGACUGGAAUUCCUGGUGUAGCGGUGAAAUGCGCAGAUAUCAGGAGGAACACCGGUGGCGAAGGCGGGUCUCUGGGCAGUAACUGACGCUGAGGAACGAAAGCGUGGGUAGCAAACAGG
rnacentral:rRNA from 1 species